ACGAACGCUGGCGGCGUGCUUAACACAUGCAAGUCGAACGGAAAGGCCCUGCUUGCAGGGUACUCGAGUGGCGAACGGGUGAGUAACACGUGGGUGAUCUGCCCUGCACUUCGGGAUAAGCCUGGGAAACUGGGUCUAAUACCGGAUAGGAGCCAUUUUUAGUGUGAUGGUUGGAAAGUUUUUUCGGUGUAGGAUGAGCUCGCGGCCUAUCAGCUUGUUGGUGGGGUAAUGGCCUACCAAGGCGGCGACGGGUAGCCGGCCUGAGAGGGUGGACGGCCACAUUGGGACUGAGAUACGGCCCAGACUCCGACGGGAGGCAGCAGCGGGGAAUAUUGCACAAUGGGCGCAAGCCUGAUGCAGCGACGCCGCGUGGGGGAUGACGGCCUUCGGGUUGUAAACUCCUUUCGCUAGGGACGAAGCUUUUUGUGACGGUACCUAGAGAAGAAGCACCGGCUAACUACGUG
rnacentral:rRNA from 1 species